rnacentral:tRNA from 1 species
AUAUAGUUUAAGGAAAACAUUAGACUGUGAAUCUAAUAGUAGAAUCUUAAACCUUCUUGU